rnacentral:sRNA from 1 species
UGCAUCUGGGGCCUGCGAGGAUGAGAACCUCCGGGGGCAGGAGGUUCGACUCGAGCGAAGCGAGAGAACGUUGCGUCAGCAACGG